AGUGAACGCUGGCGGUAGGCCUAACACAUGCAAGUCGAACGGCAGCACAGUAAGAGCUUGCUCUUACGGGUGGCGAGUGGCGGACGGGUGAGGAAUACAUCGGAAUCUACUUUUUCGUGGGGGAUAACGUAGGGAAACUUACGCUAAUACCGCAUACGACCUACGGGUGAAAGCAGGGGAUCUUCGGACCUUGCGCGAUUGAAUGAGCCGAUGUCGGAUUAGCUAGUUGGCGGGGUAAAGGCCCACCAAGGCGACGAUCCGUAGCUGGUCUGAGAGGAUGAUCAGCCACACUGGAACUGAGACACGGUCCAGACUCCUACGGGAGGCAGCAGUGGGGAAUAUUGGACAAUGGGCGCAAGCCUGAUCCAGCCAUACCGCGUGGGUGAAGAAGGCCUUCGGGUUGUAAAGCCCUUUUGUUGGGAAAGAAAAGCAGCAGGUUAAUACCCCGCUGUUCUGACGGUACCCAAAGAAUAAGCACCGGCAACUUCGUG
rnacentral:rRNA from 1 species